GUCUACGGCCAUGCCACCCUGAACAAGCCUGAUCCUGUCUGAUCUCGGAAGCUAAGCAGGGUUGGGCCUGGUUAAUACUUGGAUGGGAGACCACCUAGGAAGACCAGGUGCUGUAGGUG
rnacentral:rRNA from 1 species